UCUUGGAGGGACAUCAUCAUUGGGAUCUCAGUCACAGUGGCCACCCUCCUCCUCCUCCUGAUCCUCCUCCUGGUCUAUCUGCGAUGUCGCAGGAAGCAUGGAAGUACUUGUUGCAAACUCAAGAAACAGAGACCUCAGGACAGAGUCACCCCAGCUGCUGAAGUCCACACAGGAA